rnacentral:rRNA from 1 species
UACAGAGGGUGCAAGCGUUAAUCGGAAUUACUGGGCGUAAAGCGUGCGUAGACGGUUAUGUAAGUCAGGUGUGAAAGCCCCGGGCUCAACCUGGGGAAUUGCAUUUGAGACUGCAUAGCUAGGGUGCGGAAGAGGGAAGCGGAAUUUCCGGUGUAGCGGUGAAAUGCGUAGAUAUCGAGAGGAACACCAGUGGCGAAGGCGAGUCUCUGGACGACUCCUGACACUGAGGCACGAAAGCUAGGGGAGCAAACAGG